rnacentral:rRNA from 1 species
UACGUAGGGCGCAAGCGUUGUCCGGAAUUAUUGGGCGUAAAGAGCUUGUAGGUGGUUUGUCGCGUCUGCUGUGAAAAUCCGAGGCUCAACCUCGGACUUGCAGUGGGUACGGGCAGACUAGAGUGUGGUAGGGGAGACUGGAAUUCCCUGGUGUAGCGGUGGAAUGCGCAGAUAUCAGGAGGAACACCGAUGGCGAAGGCAGGUCUCUGGGCCAUUACUGACACUGAGAAGCGAAAGCAUGGGGGAGCGAACAGG